CUCACUUGUUCUAAGACCGAUUCGCCAUGAGCAUUCAAGUGAGCAUCUCCAAAAGGUAUCCACACCAAUAUCCACCCUACCAAAGGAGAGAAGCCGAGAGGUUAAGUAAGGGAGUAAGAAUAAUUUUUCCUUGUUUAUACUAACCUUUACUUGUGUAGUUAUGGAGCAACAAAGAAAAUCUCACAAACCUCAAGGAGAAGGAACAAGUCCACGAUGCGAGAAUUAUAAUAACCAUAUCUUUAAUGUAACUCAUCAAAUGAGUGAAGAUCACCAUACUAGUGGCUACCUUGGACACACAACUCCUAAACUUCCUAAGUUCCAUGGAAGUACAAAGCAACAAGAAUAUCUUCAUUGGGAGGACCAAAUCGAGAGCAUCUUUGCAAAACACCAUUGGAGUAAAAGCAUCAAGAAAAAUCUUAUUACUACUUGUUUUAAAGAUUAUGCUAUAACAUGGUGGGAUGCUUUGUUUUUUAAUAGGAAAAAGAAUCUAGAAAGUCGAAUCACCUCAUGGAGAGAACUCAAGCCAUUAAUGAGGAGAUAAUUUGUUCCUAAGUCAUUAGUCAAGUUGAAAAACUUGAGACAAAGGGACAAAAGUGUUGAAGCUUACUACGACGAGAUGUGCUCAUUGCUUGAGGAGCUUAACAUAUAUGAAGAUGAGGAAACCAACAUGGAUCGAUUCUUCAAUGGACUCAAUGGAGAGAUUGCCAAGGUGAUUGUGGAAAAAGAAGAAAUUCGACCUUGUACUAGGUUGGAAGAAAUGUUGCACCUUGCCAAAAGAGUCGAGAGAAGGCAUCAAAGAGAAUCAUCGAGACCACUCCCAUUUUCUAUCGGUGAUUGGGCAGCUGAAAGAAAUUGCUAAUAAGGCAAAACAGGAGGCUAAUCAAGAUGAGUUGACUGAAAAUACUAGGGAUGAGGAACUGCCAGAGUUGUCUCCUGAAAAUACGUAUGUUUGCUUUCUCUAGUCUUAAGCUUUUGGGUUGAUUUAUGAUUUAAUAUCUAUAAGAUGCAACUGUGUUAUAUGAUGUGUAAGCCGGUCUGUUUGGGUCGAUUUUUAGCAAAAAUUGAUGCGAAACCAUUGAACAAAAGCUGAGAAUAUCUAUCCAAGCUGAACCAUCAAACUAUUUUGUGCUUUUAUAUUUUGAGAUUUGAAGUAUCAUGGAGGAACAAAAGACCAAUUGGAGAUAAUGCUGAUAUUUUCAAAAGCCAAUGCACUAUUUGGCUCAACAAGUCAACUUUACACCUCUACAAGUGAAAAGUUGGAGAGAUAUUGACCUGACAAGAAAAAGAAAACUAUUUGAGCUUACAUUAGUAUGUGAUAUAAAAACUUAAUAUUUAUUUUAUUUACUUAUUACUUGCUUUAAUUGCCAUUGUUUUUUUCCACGUAGGAGCGAUUUAAAGUCGAAAGCCAUGAGACUUCUGUUUUACAUCAACUUAAUCGAUCUUAUAAUAAUUGGAGAGAUAGCUUGAAGAAAAAAUGGUUGUACAAAUACGAUACAAUUGCACAAGCUUUGACUAAUUUUCCACAAGAAAUUACAAGAGAAGAUGCAGAAUAUCUUGCAAACUUGUGGAAGCAACUGAAUAUCAAAUGUGUGAAAGGAACAAAGUGAACCGUUCUAAAUUGAACGUAUAUCACACAUGCGGUUCACAAAGUAUACAACAAAGGGUUAAUAAAGAGGUUGUGACACUAAUAAUGAACAUGCAUAAGAAUUUGGGAGAUAACUCAUUUGAGAAACGAUGGGAUGAUGGUGAAUGAAACUACAUAAGAAAAAUUGGGUCGUCCCGAGAAAUCAGAUAGAAUGACAGGGUUGAUGCGAAUGAUGGUGGAUUGAAUGAAUGUGUUAGGCUUGGGUGGCAACAAGGGGUGCAACGCUAGUUUUAUCUUUGGAGGUUAGAGUGAGAUCUAAUUUAAGGGGGGCCCUCCUUGAUUUGAUCCUUGUGUUAUCUUUUGUGUUCUUGAUAUCUUUUAAAUGUUUAAAACCAAUUUGAAAUCUCUUGCAAA